rnacentral:tRNA from 1 species
GCCGCUGUGGCGGAAUGGCAGACGCAAGGGACUUAAAAUCCCUCGGUGGCGACACCGUAUCGGUUCGAGUCCGAUCAGCGGCACCA